UCUCAGUUCGGAUUGGAGUCUGCAACCCGACUCCAUGAAGCUGGAUUCGCUAGUAAUCGCGCAUCAGCCACGGCGCGGUGAAUACGUUCCCGGGCCUUGUACACACCGCCCGUCAAGCCAUGGAAGCCGGGAGUGCCUGAAGUGCGUGACCGCAAGGAGCGCCCUAAGGCAAUACCGGUGACUGGGGCUAAGUCGUAACAAGGUACC
rnacentral:rRNA from 1 species